CCCAACUCAAGGGAGGCUGGGGAUUUAGUCUCUCGCUGGGCAGCCAUGUACUCAGAACUUUGUGGGAGGGGGUGCCUCCUUUGGGUAAGGUGGUUGAGCAGUGACCUCCUGACGGUUUCCUGACCCUUGGUCUUGACUUGCCCUGUAGCAGCCAACUCCAAACAGCCGAUUCACAUGGUCUACGUCCCCUCCCACCUCUACCACAUGCUCUUUGAGCUCUUCAAGGUGAGGAGGCUGGGAGACGGUGCUUUGCGGGGAGCGUGAGUAGGGCUGGCUUCUCCCAUGCAUCUCUUACCUCUGCCCCUCCGCAGAAUGCCAUGAGGGCGACUGUGGAAAGCCAUGAGUCCAGCCUCAUUCUCCCACCCAUCAAGGUCAUGGUGGCCUUGGGCGAGGAAGAUCUGUCCAUCAAGAUGAGUGACCGAGGUGGGGGUGUUCCCUUGAGGAAGAUUGAGCGACUCUUCAGCUACAUGUACUCCACAGCACCCACCCCCCAGCCUGGCACUGGGGGAACGCCGCUGGCUGGCUUUGGUUAUGGGCUCCCCAUUUCCCGCCUCUACGCCAAGUACUUCCAGGGAGACCUGCAGCUCUUCUCCAUGGAAGGCUUUGGGACCGAUGCUGUCAUCUAUCUCAAGGCCCUGUCCACGGACUCGGUGGAGCGCC
rnacentral:sRNA from 1 species